UUGGACAGGAUGGCCCCAUCACUGUACAUUGCAGUGCUGGGGUAGGAAGGACUGGUGUAUUCAUCACUUUGAGUAUAGUACUGGAGAGGAUGCAGUAUGAAGGUGUUGUAGAUGUGUUCCAGACAGCAAGAAUUUUGCGAACUCAGCGCCCGGCAAUGGUACAAACCGAGGAUCAGUACCAGUUCUGCUACCGUGCCGCUUUGGAAUACCUGGGAUCCUUCGAUCAUUAUACUAAUUAAAUGGCGUAAUGUUCCAUUUGGGAAAACGAGCAGACAAUAACUGCCCACCAUGAUAUUGUUAGCGUAAGCGUAUCAUAAAAUAUAAGCUAACUCGUUUAUGCA